GUCAAUUGGACAGGCGGCCCAUG
rnacentral:siRNA from 1 species